UACGUAGGGGGCAAGCGUUGUCCGGAUUUAUUGGGCGUAAAGAGCGUGUAGGCGGUUAGGUAGGUCCGUUGUGAAAACUGGAGGCUCAACCUUCAGACGUCGACCCAAACCCCCUGGCUAGAGUCCGGAAGAGGCGAGUGGAAUUCCUGGUGUAGCGGUGGAAUGCGCAGAUAUCAGGAGGAACACCAAUAGCGAAGGCAGCUCGCUGGGACGGUACUGACGCUAAGGCGCGAAAAGCGUGGGGAGCGAACAGG
rnacentral:rRNA from 1 species